CUGAGUUCCAAUGCAAGAUACAUCACAAUAUCUUAACCUUAACAUUAAUCCAUCCAUUUUCCAUUCUGAUGAUCCUCUCGUGGGAGUCUGGAGACUAUCCCAGGGGACUCGGGGCACAAGGUGGGGGACACUCUGGAUGGGGUGCCAAUCCCUCGCAGGGCACUAUCGCACACACACACUCACAUUCACUCACUACAGACAAUUUAGAGAUGCCAAUCAGCCUUCAAUGCAUGUCUUUAGACCGGAGGAAACCGGAGUACCCGGAGGAAACUCCCCAAAGCACAGGAAGAACGUGCAAACUGCACACGCGCACACACACACACACACACACACACACACACACACUGUGGAGGCAGGAAUCAAACCCCCAACCCUGGAGGUGCAAAGUAACAGUACUAACCACUAAACCACCAUGCCCUCCUUAACAUUAAUAUGCACUCUAAAAUCAAAAGGUUCCCAGAAGAUAUUUAGGUCUUCUCACAAGCAUAACUCUUAAAAGUGCCUCCAGGAACCUUGUGGCAAACGAUCAUGAAACCCGAAUGGUUCCCACAUAUAAUCAGUAAGCGUCCUAAGGUUUUAUUGUGCUCCAGCUCCUAAAAUGAUGCUCCCAAAAUCCAUGAAACAUCAAAAGCAUAUUGAUGAAAAGAAUAUUUUAGAUAAUAGUUAUCAGCAGUGAGUAUGGGUACUUCUGAUUUGGUUAAACUGUAUUAUAUUAUUGUAUUAAAGAAGCAAUAAACAGCACAAGGCACUAAUGUUUGAGUUAGAGAGGCAUACUGAGAGAGUAGCUCUAAACUCCUGUCAGUCAGUGGGUUUUUGGAGAAGGAGCAGCAGUGAUGAGGACUACAUUGCCCGCUCGGUCUCGCGUCAUGCGGCGGAGUCUUUCAUCAUGAGGGCAUUGUGGGAGUUGCAGUGUGAGUGAUUUGGCCCGGACACUGCGGUGGCAGGAGGACCGCUGGGUGAAACAUCAGGGCGGAGCUUCGUCUGCCUGCCAGAUGGAUGCCUUGUGAACUUAAAGGCAAAGUAAUCAAGUUGAACAUAAAUCGCUACACCCAGCCUCAUAUCGGACGCCACCAUACGUCCAGGAGCGCAGUAGCCCUCCUCUGACCAGGCAAACAUGGCGUGCUCGACGAGGCGGUAGAUAGAAAAGUAAAGUGUCUGCAUCUCUCGAGAGGGCUCUGUAAAUCUGUGAGGCAAGUGCAUUGAUCUGUUUGGGUCUUUUUUUUGUGUCGGGGUCAGAUAAGCUUGAUUAAGUGUGGGCUGUGGCGCGGUGGUGCUGCUCUGCACGAGCGCGAGCUCAGCGUCGGGGGCGGAGUCAAAGCCCAGCGGCUGCAUUCCAGCCAAUCAAAGCCGCCGACCUCCACAGCGAGGCGUCCGAUUACAAAAGGGGGGAGGUGCUUGGUGCAACAUGAGAGACGUGUGCGUGGUUUCUAAGGCAACCGCUCGUCUUGACCUCCAUGUCCCCGUUCUCGUCAGGGAAAGCUGGUUUCCAUGGAAACGAUCGUAUCUCUGCGCGCGGCUCGCUUCCCGUAAAGUGAUCUGGUCGGAAAGCGGCCCGUUCUUCCAGAGUGUGUCGGAAAAUUCUAAAGAGGAGGAAAAAAAAAAAAAAGAUGGCGUUUGAGAAGCAUAAGUCUGUUUAAAAAGCUCCCAUUAGCCUCACAGGCUGUUCUCGCGCGCUGUUGUGUGCAUGUUGAGGUACAGGAAAACGCCUGAGGAACUGAGAGGCUGAUGUCUCCAGGCCAUAUAAGCCUAAAACACUGAAAAGGUUCGUGUGACAUGUUAGAAAUGUUGUAUGUGUUCGGGAAAAAUGAACGCGCCUUAUCUUUAUCCAUCAUAUAGUUUGGUAUUAAAUCCGCCUUUUUUUUUUUUUUUUUUACCAACAAAAAACACAUUUACUCAAGGUCUUACAAACUUCUUGAAUUCAUUCUAGUAUAUUUUUUUCUUUGUGAAUGUUUUGAAUCUGCUUUGUUUUUACUAGGCUUGUUAUCAGGAGAACGUCAUUUCUGUGUUUAGCCCCGCCCCCUUGCCUACCACAUAAAGUGUCAUCUCCACAUCUGCAUAAAGUCCUCUUUCAGAUUUUAGUGUUUUGCAGAUGUGCAAAUGUUUUUCCAAUCUCAUGAACUCUGGUCAGAUUUUUUAACUCGAUAUCACAACAGUCUGUUUUCCUUUUAUUUGCUUUUGUAUUGUUGCUGUCUUCAGCCCACAUGUUCGCAGCAGCCGCACUGACACACACUCACUGAGAAGGAGCAUUUUUUCCUUUUCUGUAGAAAUAUCCCAAGUACUACAUAUCCUCAGCAUCCGUAUAUGGGCCAUAUCAUCUAUUUAUGAGGCUGAAGGAGUAAAACAGCCUGUAACAGAGUGUUAUAGGAAAGUCAUCAACUACGGGGUGAUGUGAUGAGUCAGGGCCAUUAGCACACCAGAGUGAAUUAUUUUCCAAUAACAUCACAUCCACGCCAAAAGUGUUUUAUUCCUCUUUUACCACAGCAAUUUGCCAAUGAUAACAUUUAUUAUUUAAAUUAUUAAAGAAUGACACAUCAUACUUUUAGCUCCUUAUAGUCACAUUAAUGUUCUGAAAUGGAACAUCUGCGAAACAAGUUAGUUCCUGUUCUCACUUAUGUUACAGCAGCUUUAAACCGUUGUUCUCUCACCAGCAUCUCUUUUUUUCCCUCUGUCUAAGUAAAUAUGACAGAAAAAAAAUGCAGCUUGUUCUGUUACUGAGAAACUGGAAAGACUCGUGAUGGAAAACGUACUGGCUGUUACAACUCGCCGACACCCGAGACGUUAAAUAAAUGUCUCCGUACAGCACGUUUCACCAUAUCAACGAUUAUGUGUUUUUAUUAGAUAACAACAAACAUCUGUUUAUUAGGUAUUAAUAUAAACCUGUGCUUUGAAUGCACUCUUGUCAGAGCUGCUGUUGUAGAAAAUGAUUCCACACUUUCUGACCAAUCAGAUUAGCGAAUUCAACAGCGCUGUAGUUUAAGCAUCUUUAAGAUGUCGGCCUCCACGUCUUUUUGUGUUAACUGAGGAAUCAUGGAAGCAAAAGGAUGUUGUUCAGUUCUAUCCCUGAUUUGAAAAAGCAACAUUAGACAGUCAUUUUUCAACAGGAUGCCUGUAUGAGAUGGUUACGUCCAGGGACAUUAGUUUUAUUUUCAAACUUGAGAUUUGGAAUAACAGCUGACAUAGAGAUGUUAGCUUGUGCGUAAUAUCUCUCGCUGUCUCCCUCUCUGUUUUGCUUCCUCUGCUCUCUCUCCAGUUUCCUUCUCGGAGCUUUAUCUGGAAUCUCGACUUCCUGUGACCUGUCGAGACUCAUCUGCAUACCAUGGGCUCUGCGUCGGUCGGUGCGCGUGCGUGUGUGUGUGUGGGGAAUGUGAGUGUGUGUGUGUGUGUAUUGGGGGAAGAGGGCGGGGGAUAAUUAGUAGAGAUACGGAGAAUGGAAGAAAGGGGGAGCUGUAUCUCUCUCUCGCAAAAACACACACAUACACACACACACACACACAUGCAGACAGUAGAGCUUAUGUUUAAAGCCUAACUGAAUUUUCUUCUUAGCACCUUUUUUUUUAUUAUGGCAUUAUUUCAGGUAGGUUAUAUACUAGAUCUCCAUUUCUCAUUUGUCAGAAUGCAAUAUAAAAUAUAUGCCCUUUAAGUAAAAUUAAGAAUCACAAUUAAAAGUAUAUGAGAAAAUAUGUAUGGCUAUUUCGAUUCAAAUACUGGAAGAAGAUUUCCAUUCUAGUUUCUGUAUCAGUUGUUGUCUUAAUGUGCAAGGUUAUAGCAUAUGGUACAUAACCUACCAAUAAAAAUACUGUAACUCAUGAAUGGAUGCUGUUUUUUUUUCCUCAUAGCUGUAAAAUAAUUCUGAUCAGUGCCUUGCCAAAAAGAGUGCAGUGAAUUUGUGAUGGAAUUUAAGUAAGACAUGGAUGCGGUUAAGCUUUCUCUCUAAACAAAACCUCGCAUAAGACAAUACUUAAUAGGUUAUUUUUCAAAUAUAUCUUUAUAAUACAAAGUAUUAAAAUAUCUUAAUAUUCAAUCCUGAGGGAAACCAAUCUUUAUCCAGACACAUCACACACACCACAGUGUUGUGAGAACAAACUUUCUCAAAUCCUUGUGUGCUUACGUCAUUGCUCACUUUGUCCUCUCUCAAAUCCUUCCGUGCUCUUGCUUCUUUUUCACUUAGCGCCUUUUCUUCCCCCGUGUUCAACACCGAGCGCUCAGGCUCGCCCACACGCAGCAAUGCUUAGUCUAAUUUAUGCCGACCGGAGGAAAAGAUGAACGUCUCCUCAAACACUAUUUUGUGAAGUAAAAACACGUCAUUUGCACAUUUCAGGGGUUUAUAAUUACACAAAGCAGUAUUUCACUUCUGUCGCAGAUGAAAGUAUGCUAUAACGCAUACCUCCAUAGGAAACUGCAUGUCAAAAUAGUAGGGAACUACAAAUUACUCACUCCAUGGUACCUGAUUUCAUGGCCACAUCCCAAACUGUAUACAACACUAUACGGAUACUAUAUAAAAAUAUUAGACCACAGAGAAACUAUAGUAAAUUAUGGCUACUGCAUACCUUCCAUAGCAUGAUAACUUAUUGACUAUAUGGCUCCGCAUCCUACUGUAAAUAAAUAAAUAGUAUCAAUACUUUAUAGCUAUGUCCUAAAAAUGCAUAUUACAUAUACUAAAUGCUACACCAACCUAGUGUGGCAUCAUAAGUAACUAAAUCUCAUGGUAUCUGAUUUGAUUUUAUGGCUAUUUCCUAACCACAUACUACCCUACUACAACAGUAUGUCAAAAUAGUACAGUACUGAAAAAUUUGAAAUGGCAAGGCCAAUUCUUUUGUUUUUGCUAUACACCAAAGACGUUUGGGUUUGAGAUCAAAAGAUGAAUAUGAGACAGUAGACUCAGACUUUCAGCUUUAAUUUCCUGAUAUGUACAUCUAGAUGUGUUAAACAACUUAGAAUAUAGCACCUUUGAUGGUAGACCACCCAAUUUUUAGGUGAGCAAAAGUAUAGGAACAGAUAGUCUUAAAAUAAGUUAAGUAAAUAGCACUUAAUAUUUGGUUGCAUAUCCCUUGCUUGCAAUAACUGCAUCAAGCCGGUGACUCACUGACAUCACCAAACUGUUGCAUUCUUCUUUUGUGAUGCUUUUCCAGGCUUGUAGCACGGUUUUAUUCAGUUGGUUUUUGUUUUGCGGAGUUUCUCCUUUUGGUCUCCUCUUCAGGAGGUGAAAUGCAUGCUCAAUUGGGUUAAGGUCUGGCGAUUGACUUGGCCAGUCUAUAACCUUCCAUGGUUUUCUCUGAUGAAGUUCUUUGUUAUGUUGGCAGUGUGUUUUGGAUCAUUGUCUUACUGCAUGAUGAAGUUAGAUUGGAUGCAUUUCUGUGUAAACUGGCAGACUGAAUGUUUCUGUAGACUUCUGAAUUCUUGCUGCUACCAUCAUGAGUUACAUCAUCAGUAAAGAUUAGCGAGCCCGUUCCAGAAGCCGCCAUGCAAGCCCAAGCCAUGACACUACCUCCACAAUGACCAAUGAGCUCCUCUGUUUUGGAUCAUGACCAGAUCCCGUUCUUUCUCCACACUUUGGCCUUCUGAUUCUUACUGCUGAUGAAUGGUUUGCAUCUUGUGUUAUGGCCUCUAUAUUUCUGCUCUCAAGUAGUGGAUUGUGAUACCUUCACCCCUGGCCUAUGGAGGUAGUUGGUGAUGUCACUGACUGUUUAUUUUGUUUUUUUCUUCACAGCUCUCACAGUCUCUCAGCAACUGCUGUUGUUUUUCUUGGCUGACCUGUUCGAUGUCUGGUUGUUGGUACAUCAGUGGUUUCUUUCUUUUUCUUUUCAGGACAUUCCAAAAUGUGGUAUUGGCUAUGCCCAAUGCUUGUGCAAUGGCUUUAGAUUUUCCCUCUUUUCUCAGCUUUUCUCCCAUAAACAGCUCUCUGGUCUUCAUGUUGGUUUAUCCUUUUUAACAACAAAUGCAGUCUUCACAGGUGAAACCCAGGGCUCAAACCAAGAGUAGACAUUCAGAGCUAUUAAUUGCUUAAACAGUCAAUCUAACAAGGCACACCUGGGCAACAAGAAACACUUGUCAGUCAAUUGUUCCAAUAUUUUUGAUCACUUGGAAAAAUGGGUGGGUUCAAACAAAAAGUGUUAUGUUUGACACAAAAUGAAAGCUGGAAUUUUGAUCUAUCGUCUCAUAUUCAACCAAAAUGUUUUCAGUGUAUACUUUUAGAAGGGGUUAUUACAACCUAUUGUUGUACUAAAUAGUAUAUAAAUAGAAUAUGAGACCAAAAGUCACCCGAUUCAUGAUAACUGACCCCAUGGGCGUUAAAUAUAUUUCGUUCACAAAUGAUGUUUUCUGAAUGAGUCACUAAGGUGAAUGAAUCAGUAUCAGUCUCUGGUGAGUCAUUCUUUAUCUUGUCAUUCUUUAUCUAUGUCCACUUGCUGCUGGCACACUUCAUGAUUAUCAAACAUAGAUUUUACGUAGGUUUAUGUGUUCGUCAUUGUAUUUGCAGUUCAUUGUAUAUGUUCGUCAUUGUUUCUGCAGUUGUAUGUAUACCAACCUGACAAUCACCUCUUUAGUCAGUGAAUGCUUUCAAUCACAGGUGAGAUAGCCUCCGAUCAUGUUAAGCUUUUUCUAAACGCAGACAUACAAGCGUAUUACAAAAUAACAAUACUGGUCAAGCUGUGUGCUGUUUUUUGUGGCGCCAUAAUCAGGCUGCACAUUUCACCAAACUGCGCAACUGCCUUCAUUGGUGAAUGAAUCUGAACGAAUCAUUUAACUGACUUGAAAUGAAUUGAGUCAGUAAAAAGACUAAAGAAUUUCAACCCUAAUGACUGCAUCCUACUAUGGAAGCACAUUUCUGCCAGGUAGAAAAGAAAAAAAAUUGCAUUAUGCAAUUUGUUUUAUCUCAAAAUCGUGGUUUAUUUUCUGGAGCUAUCUACGUUUUUUAUGAAACUAGUGUGCUAGUUACCUGCGGACAAAGCUAGCUAAUUAGCUGUUUAUUUAUUCCAGCUUUGUGCUAUGCAUUGGAUAAGAUUAAAAAGAACAGAAUAUUUGCGUAGACCUAUCCUCAUAUGUAAAAAUGAUGAGUAAGAAUUUUCAGACAAUAAGUCAAAAUUUUAACAUCAUAAAUCAGAAUUUUGAGAUACCAAGUGAAAAUUUCAACAUACUGGUACUGCAAAAAAUUCAUUUAUACACAUAUAUGUACAUUUUCUAUGAGGCGGAAAUGGGCUUUCAUAUGCUACACUGCAUACUGCGGUACCAAAAAUAUGUUGGACUGGCUAUAUUAAUUGACUCCAUAUUACCUGACUUCAUAAACCAUGUACCUCUGUACUAAAUAGUGCACCAUAAUAGUGCGUAGCUGACAAUUAAGCAAUAUUGCAUGAGUAAGGGUGCUGUUAUACUGAAUAUCAGCAUGGCUGUGAUUCGGCUGUAAGCACGAGGCCACAGGUAAUUAUGUGCUGAUGUUCAGCACGAUUUUGAAUGUGAUAUUGGUUUUGUACAGCAGUUCUAUAAGUAAGAAAUGAAUAGAGCAACUGACAUUUCAGACACAGUAUAGCCAAAUAGUUAGUUUAGUUUUGCGCCGUCAGCGAAGAAGCCACAGCUGGAUAGAGUGGUGCGUGUUGCCAUGUAAUGCAUAGACUGACUGACAGCCUGUAGUAAACGUAGUAACAGUUUCAAUGUAAUGAACUAUUACUAGGGUUGGAAUUUUAUGUUGUGAACACAGACAAGCGGAGUGAUACACAGUGAAAUGUACCAGUGCACUUAUACUAGAUAUCAGUACUCUCAGAACACUACUUGUCCAAUCAAAUUAGUGGACUAGAAUUAACAGAUGUGUAAUGGCCCACACUGCAUGAUAAAAUAAAUAGUAUAUCCAACUAGUACAGCACCAAAAAUAAUGAAUUUCAUGGUAUUUUAACAUCAUGGCCACAUCCAAAACUACAUACUACCAUCCUGAAUUAUUGUAUACAAAAUAUUUUGGCACCAUAAGUGACUUGAUUCCAUGGUGAAUGGCCUUACGGCUACAAUUCUGACAGCAUCCUACCAUAAUAAACAGUAUAGUACUAUUUUGAUGGCCUACUACUUUGACAUACUUUACAUAUAGUAGUAUAGGGUUUAGAAUGUCGCCACUGCCCCCUCAUGUGGUUUCCGGUUUAACGCUCUCCUGCUUUUUUGCAUUAAAGUUCACAGGAUGCGUUGAGUCAGGUAUUAGCUCACACCCUCUACCCGAAAUAGUAUUCGAAAAUUAAAGCUUGCUUAAUGGCAUAUUCAGAUUAAAAUGGGAAAAAAAAAAAAAAAAAAAAAACCAUGUUCAAAAAAGACCUUUUCAUCAGCUCUCUUAGUCAUUCUCUGUCUGACAUUUACAAAAUAGAUGGCCUGUGUGUAGGCUGCUAAGAAUACCGCUAACGUGUGCUAUUGCAAUAUUGCAGGGAAGCUAAAUGAAGAUGGUUUUUACAUAAGCUUGAUUCAGAUAGAUUACUUCAGGAUGUUGUGAAAGCAGAGGCCUGUAAUUAUUUGUCAGUGCCACUAUUCACAGAGCAAGAAGAAAUGCGCUGAGCUCUAGUUGUGAUUUGCUAGUAUACUUCCCGCUUAGCUGCAGGGAGUGUCCGUGCAGUGAGGAAACGGGUCAGGAAACGGUGAGUGAGUUGUGUGUACAAUCCUGCUUUAAUGCACUCCCUCUGCUGGUGUCCACUUUGUCACCCUCGCGAAGAAAAUUCGAGCCGUACGACUCAGCCAGGGGAGGAGAGAGAAAAACAGAGGAGGAAUACAAGAGCAGGAGGCACGCGGUCUUCCAUCUUCGUAUGCGUAAUGUAGAAGAAACGACCAGUGCUGCAGACCGGUUCUCUGUUUACUGCCUCUGUCUUCCAUAACUGAUCACUGUUUUUUGAAAAUAUUUUAAUCUCGUAAUAGAAUAUGUGUGUUUUGCUAUUGCUAGUGAAAGGGCGUUAGGGCAUCCAGAGCAAAAGAGGCAUUUCCUGUUUGUGGGUUUGUAAUCCAAUAGGAUUAAUAAUGAAAGAGAAAAUGAAAAACAAAGAGAACAGCUGUUUCAUAUGCACAAUUAGUUCAUCAGCCAAUGUUUCUUUUUUUCUGAAAUUGUUCAGAUUUACAUUUGAUUGAGAGAGACAGUGUUUCCAAGUUCCAAGAUCUGGUCACAGAAUUCCUGAAGCAUGUUCAGGAAAGCUGGAACACCCGGAAUUCUAGAAAAGGGGCCUGUGCGAGAGAGAGAGAAGGAGAGGGAGAGGGAGAGGGAGAGAGAGAGCACUCCAUAAACAAACACUGCAGCGAGCGUUAAUAAAACCCACAUGCUCGCGCUCACGAAGAGGGGGUGGAUGCUGGGAGGGAGCAGGUACUUUCCAACUGCUUUCCUGUAGUUCACAUUUUGUAGCACUGCAGCUACUCCGACUUCAAAUUUGCCUAUAUAUACAUGGAAAUGCUGCUUUAACACCAAGAAAAUCUGUUUCUGUGUUUUAUACGAGUUAAAUAAGACAUGCUAUGUCAAACCAAGCUGAAAUAGACUUGAGGAGAUAGUGUUCUGUUGUUUUAACUUCUUUUUACUUUAUAAAAUAUACUACAUCAGGCACACACCCACCAACCUUUAUCAUUAUGUCAUGAUAUUGAACAUCUAACUGUAUAAGAGCAGGGGUUAUGCACUCUUUGCAGCCAGAAACGCCUUUCAGUGUAAAAAGCCUUUUUCACGGACUCUCUCGUGAUCACAACCCAGAUUUGUUUUUCUACACACAAACCCUAUGUGUGAAUUAUACAAUGACAUAUGGGUCACAUUUCACAGCUUGUGAACUAGCUAUCAUAUCAUAUCAUGCAAGUUUUAUUUUCUGCACUUAGUCACAUUGUUGCUGGUAAUAUAUGAAAGAGCAAUAACAAUAACACAUGUGGGGGAAAAACUGUCAUAGAAAGGGCAGAAAAGUAGCUUAGCUACAAAUACUAGGGCAAUUGAUUGUGCUAGAAGUCGCUAGCUGCAACGUAGCUGGUGGUUAGCUAGUAGCAAAAUAAAUUAAGCUGCUAAUGUUUGCUGAUAGCUAGCAUACAUAGUUUCAAGCGAUUCUCCAAAGGUAACCUAAAUUACAAGACUUGAGUGGUAUGGGAAAUAAAAUAAGAGACAGAUUGGGUUAAAUUUCAAAAGAAGGCUAAAAUAAUGUGCUAAUACACUCAGUUUUCCCUAGAGUUUUACAUUUUCUCUUCAAAUUACUAUAUUGACACCAUGAGUUAAUAUGUGAAUAUUUUACUCUUGUGGCCGCUAAAUGUCACGUAUUUUGUUGUUGGAACGUCAUUCUUAAUAUGUGGCCUUCACCUGAUUAUUUAGUGGGAAAAAAUCUAUUCACUUUGAGAAUUAGCUCAAGGUGAUGCGGGUUGAUGGUAUAUCCAUGAUGUCAUAACACCACUGACUCCAAUAUGUCUUUAUACAUCAUUCCAUGAUUGGAGUAAAUGGUAGUAAUAUCAGUCAGCUCCAUGCUUAGGUUCCUGUGGCCACAAUGGUCUAAUUCUGUGAUUUCUGUUUCUCACUCCUUUUAAAAUUCACCAGUUGCCUUGUGGCCACAAUUUAGUAUAUGAAGGCCAGUAGAAGCUUGGCUCGUGGCAUCGAUAUAUUAAUUUGUGACCACAUCUUAUUAAAAAAUAACCACCAUGUCCCCUUAGCGGAUUGAUAGAGUAGAAUUCAAGGUUGAGGUAGCGGCUAAGAAAUGUACGGCCCAUUUUCUGUCUGUUUGAAAGUGUAAAUUAUGUGUGAUGUCUGAAACAUAUUUUAGUGUAAGUACCACUGAUGAGUGGGUUUAAUACUCACUUUACAUUGGGAGGGUUUAAAUGGCAGAACCCUUCCAAACCCUUCUGUAAUUAACUCUGCAUAAAUCUACUAUUCUAAUAUUAAGCAUAUAAAUUGUGUUUAGUCAUUUAAGCUAUUGAGAUUAUUAUUGAACUUUUAAUCCAUAAAACACCAAACAUCUGUAUCAUAUAUAAAGCACAGUUAUUGAGUAGUGACUUAGUGGAUAGCAUGUUUGUCUCGCACCUCCGGGCUUGGGAGUUUGAUUCCCGCCUCCGCCCUGUGUGCGCGUGGAGCUUGCAUGUCCUCCCUAUUCCUCCGGGUACUCUGGUUUCCUCCCCCAGUCCAAAACAUGUGGCUGAUUGGCAUCUCUAAAUUGUUUGUAGUGUGUGUGUGUGUGUGUGUGUGUGUGUGUGUGUGUGUGCAGUUGUUCCCUGUGAUGGGUUGCGCACCCUGUCCAGGGUGUCCCCCACCUUGUGCCCCAAGUCCCCUGGGAUAGGCUCCAGGCUCCCCGCGACCCCGUGUAAGUUAUUGAGCUUUAAUAUAAACCAUUCCAUUGACAAUGGUUGGUAAUAAUUUGAGAGUAGUUACUAAUAAAAUCAUAGACUUGUGGUUCCCCAGACUGUACUUUAAGAAGGAUGAGUAUAUAGUACAUAUAGUGGUCAGUGAUUAAACCACAACAUCCUGGUCUCAAAUAUUUUAGGAUGAAAGAAAGCACUAUACACUUUAUGGAAUACACACUUCCUGCGGUAUGCACACUUAAAUGUUGUGCUACACCUAUUGUACCUCAUUGGCCCUGCAAUCCAAUUAACCAUUUAUCAUAUUAAUUGUUCAUCCCAGCAGCACUUGAGUGGGUUUGCAUUCACACACACACCUCGAUGCACAUCCUUAAUUUUUUGGAGUUGUGUGUUGCGACACAAAUAGAUCAGACCACACAAAGGGCAAAGGGAAAGCACACUGUGCUUCAUUAAUAGCUCUUUUUUAAACAAAUAGAAUGAAACCCUCUGUGCCGGUCAAAAGAGGCGCCAAGAGCCUUUUCAUUUGAACAUUUUUCUCAUUUCUCUCUGCAUAAUGUGCGGAAUUAAUGAUAAUUCAUCUAUGUGUGUGUGUGUGGGUGGGUGUAUAUGAAUUUGCAGGCAUAAGGGAAAAAAAGGCAAUCAUUGAGAAAUAUCAGCAGCUCAAAAUAGCUCAAACAGUGGUAAUAUAAGCCAGGAUUUAACUUUGUCACUGAGCACCAGGAUGAGACCUAUAACCCACUGUAACCUCUAUAACCCAAGAGUAUAGGUCAGAUGAACCAGCAUGGGUUUAGAGUAAAUAUGCACUGAUAUUGACAUUGAAUAUCAUGAUAACCUCUUAGUUUUUUUUUUGUCUUGAUUUCCUACUGUACUUGUAUUAAAAUGGAAAAAUGUUUAUCUGUGCAAAUUUUUAAUAUUAAAUGAACCUUGGCAGUGUCUCCUUCGAGGGUUCAUCCUUCAUCUCCUUCAUCGCACUGUGUACUAGUGCAUUGUGCAUGACAUUUGUGUAGUCACAAUCGCUCGCUAGCAUCACACCUUGAAUAAAGACAGACAGUGCACUGACUAACAUAGCAAGCUGACUAACAUUGCAAGCUGACUAAUGCAAUCUAGCAAGUUAGUACCUGUCAGGAUGUCUACCCAGGCAAGGGAUUCAGUGGCAGUGGAGAUAAUCUGAAGUGUCCGCAAUAACAAUAUUGUAGCAAUAUGUUGAAUAUCAACAGUGUUUUACUCGCUAAAUGUAAAGUGUCCCUGAAAUCAAAAUUUAAUAAUAAUAAUAAUAAUAAUAAUAAUAAUAAUAAUAGUAGUUUUGGAGAUUCAUGUUCUAAUUCUAUAGUGUGGCACUUCCGGGAAAAGCAAAUUUUUUUUGAAGGUUCUUGUAUUUGUACAAAUACAAAUACGGUAUUUGUGCAAAUCUACAUGACUGUCCAAAUAAAGCUCUGUAGAACCGUAAAUGUCCUGCCUUUGGAAGCACAGCUUGUUCUACAGUAGUAGCGUGUUAGCAGUAAACAAGGUUUGCCAGUAAACAAGGCUGUGUGUCUUCCUGCACACUUUUGCCUUUUCCAAUCAUCCCAUGGCUGAGAAAAACGUUGAGUUUAUUCCUUUUGAAGAGGGAGGACUUUGUUCAAGGUGUGUGACAGCGCCUUUCCGAUAAAUGUUUUACCAGCUGGAAUAUGUCACUUCCUCAGACUGAGUGAGAACGCAAUUCUGGCUUUAUACACCAUCGGUGCUUCUUCAUCAGAAAGAGUAAGUAAAAAGCUCUCUUUGCUCUUCAUUGUUCUCCAUAUUUAGCUAGUUGUCUAAGCUACUGUCAGGGUUGUUUAGAUUCGGCAGGGGCGUGGUGAAUCUCGAAUGCUGUUGGCUGUUGCGUAAGUCAGUCAAGCACUUCAACACAAUGUCAGUUUCACUUCCUGUUUCAGAAGGAAAUACAUCAACAUACAGAAUCUAAUCACAGCAAGUUGAAGGUGAGCCAUGUUUUCUUUUCCAUUCAUCCAAAUGGAGCAUAUCACUGGGACAGCUGGUAUAAAUGAGCUAGCAUGGAUAAAACCCCUGAAAAAAAAAUAGCUGACUAAUACCACAUGAUCUUCAUGUCAGCACAUCUGUGUAAUUAGCCACAUCUGUGAUUUCUGCCAUUGAACAGUAUCUAUGAUGUCAGGUCUAGUUUGACAGGGAGGAUGACCAUGUGUUUACAUACAGUUAAUAAUAAUAAUAAUAAUAAUAGUAAUAAUAAUAAUAAUAAUAAAUUCUUAUCUGAUUUUGCUUGUUGUCAGAUUAUUGAAGUGAUCAUGUAAAAUGCACUCUCUAUUAAUUAAAAUAAGUUUAAAGCCCUUAUCAGAUUAUCAAAUGAUUUGUUUUUAGCCCAAUAAUCGGGUUAUUCAGUGUGUGUAUACCGUUAAUCUGAGAUCUUUUGUCUUUCUAUAUAUGAGCAUACACGAAAACGACUGCAGAUAGAAAAAAAGCUUGUCUCCGUCUGUCAAUCAAAAUAGACCCGGUUUAAAGAAGGACAAAACUCCCAAAUAAUUUACCAGUAAAGUGCUUGGAGAGUGACACCCUGACAUCCAGUGACCACAAGGGAGUGAAUUGUGCUUCCAGCCAAGCAGAAUGACAUAGUCUAUACAACCUUUACAACCUUGUGAAUUAAAAAUAUAUGUCGUGCAUGUUAAGGAAUUAAAAAUAUGUAGGAUUUAUUAGUGUUAAUUUAUUCAUCUGCAGUAAGUGCUUUAUCCUGGUCAGGGUCACGGUGGAUCCGGAGGCUUGGGAUCACCCUGGAUGGGACGCCAGGUCAUCAUCUAUUUGUAACUGCAUCCAAGCUAGCUAAUAAAAAGUGCUGGCCGUUCAUGCUACUAACCGAGCUCGAGUUUCCCUUAGAUGGUAGAGUGAGCAUCACAUUGAACACUCUCUCUCUCUCCCUGUUAACACAUUCUUAACUUUUGCAACGCUUUUAGGAAACUCCCCCCGAUUAUUCUGUAAUGCCAAAACCCAUUUUCUCCAUUCUGAUAUGGCAAACUAUGGGCAGACUUUUUGUAGAUGUAAACACACACACACACACACACAGUUAGCUCACACACCUCCUUGCCUCUUGCUUGACAUCUGUGCUGUUUCGAGCAGGUUAGACGCUGUAUUAGCACACUUCCUGCUUUGAUAAAGAUUGGAGGAGUUCAUUAGUAUUAUAUUGCCAUUUUAUAACACACUAAGCAAGAGUCACACAUUUGAUAUGCACACACUGAGGAACAAUUUCGCUUGCAUUUGCAAACACACUCGAGUGUGUAUCAGGAUCCCGUUCUUAUAAUAAUGCAAUGGUUCUGCUUUAGAUGUGUUUUAACAAGGAAAGUGCAUAGUGUUCUUUAAUAGUGUGUAGUGUUGUGUGUAUAUGUGGACGGUUUGUGUGUGAGGGAGAGAGAAAGAGAUUACAGAUGAAGUUAGAUUCAUUUUCUGUAUGUGUCAGUUUGUAGAAGUGAGACUGAGAAUGUAGUUAUAGUGAUAGAUUUCUGUAUGUGUUUGUGAGGGUUUUUUUGUGUGUGAGUGUGUGUGUAUAUUUCACAUAGAGUUCUGUAUGUGUUAGUGUUAAUUUGUGUGUGUAGGUGUGUAAUGUACCUCUGCAUAUGAUUGUAUGGUUUUUUUUUUUUCUUUGCCAUGUGUGUGUUUGGGUGCAUGCAUAUAUGCAUGUGCAUUUUUGUGUAUAUGUUCUGCGUGUGUGUGUUUGGGUGCACGCAUGUGUGUAUGCUUGUGUUUGUAUGUGAGUGUGCAUGUGUGUGCGUGUGUGUCCAUGUGUGUGUAUGUGUGUGCAAGCAUGUGUGUGUUUGUUGUGUCUGUGCUUUGUGUGUUUGUGUUUAAAUGUAUGUGUGUGUGUGUGUGUGUGUGUGAGAGAGAGAGAGAGAGAUUGUGCGUGUGUAUAUAUUUUGUGUGUGUAUGUGAGAGAGUGAGUGUGUAUAUAUUUUGUGUGUGGGUGUGUGUGUGAGAGAGAGAGAGUGAGUGUGUGUAUAUUUUGUGUAUGUGAGUGUUUGUGCGUGGGAAUGUGUGUGUGUGUGUGUGUGAGAGAGAGAGUGAGUGUGUGUAUAUUUUGUGUGUGUGAGAGAGAGUGUGUGUAUAUUGUGUGUGUGUGUGAGAGAGAGAGAGAGAGAGAGUGAGUGUGUGUAUAUUUUGUGUGUGAGAGAGAGAGAGAGUGAGUGUGUGUAUAUUUUGUGUGUGUGUUUGUGUGUGUGUGUGUGUGUGAGAGAGAGAGAGAGUGAGUGUGUGUAUAUUUUUUGUGUGUGAGAGAGAGAGAGAGAGAGAGAGAGAGAGAGAGUGUGUGUAUAUUAUGUGGGUGUGUGUGUGUGAGAGAGAGAGUGAGUGUGUGUAUAUUUUGUGUGUGUGUGUGUGAUAGAGAGAGAAAGUGCUUGUGUAUAUGUUGUGUGUGUAUGUGUGUGUGGGUGUGUGUGUGUGUGUGUGUGAGAGAGAGAGUGCUUGUGUAUAUUUUGUGUGUGUGUGUGUGUGUGUGUGAUAGAGAGAGAGAGUGCUUGUGUAUAUUUUGUGUGUGUGUAUGUGUGUGUGGGUGUGUGUGUGUGUGUGUGUGUGUGAGAGAGAGAGAGAGUGCUUGUGUAUAUUUUGUGUGUGUGUGUGUGAGUGUGUGGGUGUGUGUGUGUGAGAGAGAGAGAGUGCUUGUGUAUAUUUUGUGUGUGUGUCAGUGUGUGUGUGGGUGUGUGUGUGUGUGAAAGAGAGAGAGAGUGCUUGUGUAUAUUUUGUGUGUGUGUCAGUGUAUGUGUG